GACGAACGCUGGCGGCGUGCUUAACACAUGCCAGUCGAACGGAAAGGCCCUGCUUUUGUUGGGUGCUCGAGUGGCGAGCGGGUGAGUAACACGUGAGUAACCUGCCCUUGACUUUGGGAUAACUUCAGGAAACUGGGGCUAAUACCGGAUAGGAGCUCCUGCUGCAUGGUGGGGGUUGGAAAGUUUCGGCGGUUGGGGAUGGACUCGCGGCUUAUCCGCUUGUUGGUGAGGUAGUGGCUUACCAAGGCUUCGACGGGUAGCCGGCCUGAGAGGGUGACCGGGGACAAUGGGACUGAGAGACGCAGCAGAAUCGUACGGGAGGCAGCGGUGGAGAGUAUGGCACAACGGGGGGAAGCCUGAUGCGGCAACGCCGGGUGCGGGAUGACGGGCUUUGGGUGAUGAACAGCUUUGGACUGUGACGAAGCGUGAGUGACGGUAAUGGGUAAGAAAGCACCGGCUAACUACGUG
rnacentral:rRNA from 1 species